GAAAAGACGAGGAUAUCCUGUCGACAUGUGCUUAGAUUUCCGUGCUUCAAUUCAGUUCGCUAUGUAUAGGAUUUCAGAAAAACAAUUCUGUGUCCGUUAAAUCGACGUUUUACCACCGCGUUAUCCGUUCGUCAUCUAUGAACACGACAUCGCGGGGUGUAAGCGCUCCCGGUUAGGAAUGCACGGUUCUAUCUCAGCACCAUUUUCCCGGUUGCUAACUGCUCUCAGUGAAACGGAUAUGAUGGUGAAAUGGCUCCCUCCGGUUUAAAUAUUGAGCAACAAGCCUUUGACGGUAUUAAUACAUACCCACUCAGAGGAGGGGGUAGUUACAGACCAGAAGAUCUGAGGUGUUAUUCUGUUAACCUUUUUUCAAACCGAAUGUUAU
ensembl:lncRNA